rnacentral:miRNA from 1 species
UAGUACGGUCCAUGUUGGCUCA